rnacentral:rRNA from 1 species
GUGGGGAAUUUUGGACAAUGGGGGAAACCGUGAUCCAGCAAUGCCGCGUGUGUGAAGAAGGCCUUCGGGUUGUAAAGCACUUUUGUCCGGAAAGAAAUCCUCCUCGUUAAUACCGUGAGAGGAUGACGGUACCGGAAGAAUAAGCACCGGCUAACUACGUGCCAGCAGCCGCGGUAAUACGUAGGGUGCGAGCGUUAAUCGGAAUUACUGGGCGUAAAGCGUGCGCAGGCGGUUCGUUAAGACAGAUGUGAAAUCCCCGGGCUUAACCUGGGAACUGCAUUGGUGACUGGCGGGCUAGAGUAUGGCAGAGGGGGGUAGAAUUCCACGUGUAGCAGUGAAAUGCGUAGAGAUGUGGAGGAAUACCGAUGGCGAAGGCAGCCCCCUGGGCCAAUACUGACGCUCAUGCACAAAAGCGUGGGGAGCAAACAGGAUUAAAUACCCUGGUAGUCCACGCCCUAAACGAUGUCAACUAGUUGUUGGGGAUUCAUUUC